GACGAACGCUGGCGGCGUGCUUAACACAUGCAAGUCGAACGGAAAGGCCCUGCUUGCCGGGUACUCGAGUGGCGAACGGGUGAGUAACACGUGGGUGAUCUGCCCUGCACUUCGGGAUAAGCCUGGGAAACUGGGUCUAAUACCGGAUAGGAGCCAUUUUUAGUGUGAUGGUUGGAAAGUUUUUUCGGUGUAGGAUGAGCUCGCGGCCUAUCAGCUUGUUGGUGGGGUAAUGGCCUACCAAGGCGGCGACGGGUAGCCGGCCUGAGAGGGUGGACGGCCACAUUGGGACUGAGAUACGGCCCAGACUCCUACGGGAGGCAGCAGUGGGGAAUAUUGCACAAUGGGCGCAAGCCUGAUGCAGCGACGCCGCGUGGGUGAUGACGGCCUUCGGGUUGUAAACUCCUUUCGCUAGGGACGAAGCUUUUUGUGACGGUACCUAGAGAAGAAGCACCGGCUAACUACGUG
rnacentral:rRNA from 1 species